GAAAGGUUAAUGUCAAUAAAAUAGAUGAUGCUCUUGAAAACAUGAGAAUCCCACUUGAGGAAGAAGAAAUUGAGAAACUGUGUGAAGACUUACCUCUUGAUGAUGAGAGAAGAGUUAAACUGGAUUUACUUCUGAAUGAAGUAGAUGAAAUUUUAGGGGAAGAAAUUGACUAUCAAGACCUGGAAAAUAUUCUGAAAACCAUAGGGUUAAGACUCCAACUAAAGGAAAACUCGGUAUUGAUGAAAAGUUUGCCACUUGAUGCUGCUGGAAAGUUGUAUAAGCAUAAGUUGCUGGAUGGUAUAAGGUCUCUCAAAGGAGUGAAGCUUAGUGUUGAUAAACUAGAACCUUUCAUGGAACAUAUGGGCUUUGAGCUUGAGGAAGAGGAAUACCAAGAUCUGAAAAACAACCUGCCCAUUGAUGAUGAGGGAAGAGUUAAUGUGAAUGUGGUGAUGGAUGAAGGAUAUCUUUUUACAGGUGAGAAGGUUGAUGCUAGGAACCUGGAAAAUUUUCUGGAAAAUAUGGGGAUAAAUCUCACAGAAGAUAAAGGCAUGCAACUGCUGAAUAAUCUUCCAAUUGAUGGUAAGCAUUAAAAAUAUCACACAACCAGGCGUAGUGGCACAUGCUUGUGGUC
rnacentral:lncRNA from 1 species